GUCGGUAUAGCUCAGUGGUAGAGCGCAUGCUUAGCAUGCACAAGGUCCUGGGUUCAAUCCCCAGUUCCUCCA
rnacentral:tRNA from 1 species